rnacentral:lncRNA from 1 species
GGCUGUGUUUCAGGUGAAAUUCCCCAAACCAGUUCUUGUGUCCUCGGGUUAACACGGGGACCUUCCCCCACCCAGCCCUGCUGCACAGCCCCAUCUGAGGGUGCUGGACCCCGCCAAGCCUGCUGCUCCGCUCAGCCGGCAGAGGUGGGUGGGCUCCCAAGCCAAAAGAAGCACACCACCAGGGAGAGUCCUGACCCACAAGGAAAGGGCCAGGCCUUGGCUUCCUGGUUUUGAGGAUUCACCAGGUGCCGCAGUCUGGCUGGGCACACAAUCACGAGCCACCACACAGCUUGUAGAUUCAAACAGCAACUCUUUAUUCCCGAACUCACACCAGCCGUCUACAAUCACGUUCUGGGGAAAUCCACAUUCUCUUCCCAAAUCCACGUUCUCUCCCAAAUUCCUCCUCCACUGGGCUUCUAUCUCCAAAAUAUACUGUCUGAAUCCCGUGAGAACUCAAGGGGAACUCAGGCAGCAGGAUACGCCCUAUUCCCAGCAGGAAUAAUCUUAAACCUUAAACCUGGAACCUAAACUGGGAACGCCCUAAACAAGAUUAUCUUAAAACCGGGAACACCCUAAUCUGCCUUGGUCCUUGAGCAAGGUCACUUACAUUCAAUGUCACUGCAACAUGUCAGCAACAUGGGGUACGCUGGCAAGGAAAUUGUCAUACCUACUUGGCUAAUGGCUCCCAGCAACCAGGUAAAACAAAAUUAAACGAAAAUCAGAGCUGAAACACCUUCAGCAGGUGGAGAGGGUGGUGAGGGAUUCCAGGCUCAUCUGGAUUCUGAGCAGGGGACUCAGAGAGUUAGAGAAGGGAUGCGGAGGAGCUGGUGAAGGAGCCAGUGGGUGGAUGCCCGGGGGGACCUGCAGUCUCCGUCAGUCUGGGCUGCUCUCACCAAACACCACAGCUGGGGGGACUUAGGUGACAGAAACUAUGCUCCUGUGGUUCUGGAGUCUGGGAGUCCAAGAUCAGGGCUCUGGCUGAUGAGUCCUGGUGAGGUCCUCUUCUGCCUUGCACAUGGCUGCCCCUCGCUGUGUCCUGACACAGACAGGAGCUCCGGGGUCUCCUCUUAUGAGGGUACUAAUGCUGUCCUGGGGGCCCUACCCUCACGACCUUGUCAAAACUGCACACCCCCUGAAGUCCCCACCUCCUAGUACCAUCACACCAGGGGUGGGGGCUUCAGCCUAUGAACUUGGGGGGACAUAAACACUCAGUCCAUAACACCAGACAGCGAUGCUGGUCCCACAGCAGACACCCCCUCUAACCGGCUUCUGUGGCACUCCGUCCCAGUGUUGCCGAGGCCCACUCCCACCCCAUGUCAGGAACCUGGGCUUCAAGGGGACCUGUCAUCUUUCUUACCCAGUGACAAUAACUCCACCCCUGACUUGAGGGUUCUGGGAGUCUCUGCUUCUUUGGGGGAAAAGAAAAGCCCUACUCCACUAGAUCUUCUUCCAGGAAGGUUUUUAAAUGCAGAAGGGAAGAGGGUCAAGCUCUGGUCCUAGGGCCUGGUGGUGACUAGAUCAAAGCCCUCACCACUUGGGUCACCCUCUGCUCCUGCAGCCCUCGCCAGCCCACCAGCAGCCCACAGGGGUUCAAAGUCGUCAAAGGUUUCUCCAGGUCUACCACCUGCAGAGCACCACUGGGGUCUCCUGGACGUCACCCGGAUAAAGAAGAUAGGAAUCCAACCUUGGAUCAGGAGAAGCACAGCAGGAAUCAGCCGAGAGGCCAGGGGAGCUGGCUGCAGGUUCCCAGAGGCUGUGUUGGUGAUUCCAGCAAUUGCCUUCCACAAUCCUCAGGAAACAGCGGAAACAACCCCCCACAGUGAGAGCAACUCUUCUUUUUCUACAGAGAGGACAGUAUGGAAAGGGGAGGGCAGAAGAAUAACAUUACUCUUCAGAAAGACCUAACAACACUAACUCGUGGAAGGACUGGGGUCAGCACUGACGUGAUGUCCAGCUGGCGUGAACCCUUGCUUUGAUGUGAUGAACCAGGGAUGUCGCCUCUGUGGUCAAAACCCACCAUGCACAUCUCACUACCAGGAAAACUUCAGAAAAUUGUGAUAGAGGAGGAUCCUCCUCUGUGCCUCCCUUAAUUCCCUCCAAGAGUAAAGACCCCAAAGACCUAAGGACCUCCCACUAAGCUCCUCCUCUUAAAGGCCCCACCUUUUAAGCUGUCAAGGUCAUCAAACCCAAGGAAAGUCUGAGAAGCUCAAAUCUAGAAGACCCCCAAGGAGACAGACAACUAAAUGCAAGGUGGAAUUGUGGAAGAAAAGAGAGGUAUUGGGUGAAAACAAAGGACAGUUUAAUGAUCUAUGGUGGCAGUUAAUAAUAAUAAUCACUAUAGCUUGAAUGUAGUUUGUCCCCCAGGGGGUCAUGUCCUAGAGGCUUGGUCUCCAGCUUGGUGAUGGCAGUGGCGGGUCCUUUAGGAGGUAGAGACUAGUGGGAGGCUUUAUCCUUGGAAAGAAUUAAGGUGGUUCAUGAGGGACUCCUGAGUUAAUUCUCUUGAGAAGGUUGUUGUAAGAACAGUGAGCCUAACCCUCCAAGCUCGGGUUCUUUGUUUUGCCAUAAGAUCUCUCGCUCCCCCACGUUUCUGUCAUGGCCAAUAGGCCCUCACCAGAGGCUGAACCAAAGGGCUGCCAAUCUUGAACUUGCAAGGGUUGAAACUGAGCUAAAUAAAUCUCUUUUCUUCAUAAGUAUACUGCCUCAGGUAUUUCAUUAUAGUAAUGAAAAGUGGACUGGUUAAAAUAUAAUAG